rnacentral:lncRNA from 1 species
AAACAAACCUUUAAAUAAAUUACCAGAAACAUUUAUUAUUGAAGUUCAAGAAGAAAUAAGCAUCUCUUUCAUGAUGUUAAAUAACUAUUUAAAUGCUUUGCACCACAUACCAUAAUCUUGUACAUUAAUAAUAAUCUUUCCAUUCAUUGCACCAAUACUUAAUAUCAUUCUUUGCAUUGUUUUCUUUAGAAACAUUGUCUAACAUUUCCAGAUUCUUUACCAAGAAUUUUAUAAAAUCUAACAGAGUUACUGCCCUUGGUACACAAAUCCUUAUUUUUUUCCACCUCCCCAUAACCAUCCUUUAAAGCGAGAAAUGCAAUCGAGUUGAGAUGACCAAUGGUAAUCUUUUUAUCGCUAUUUUACCUAUGACGACGUUGUCAAUUU